UACGUAGGACCCAAGCGUUAUCCGGAUUUACUGGGCGUAAAGAGUUGCGUAGGUGGUUUAUUAAGUGGAGCGUGAAAGCGUGUGGCUCAACCAUACAGCUGCGUUCCAAACUGAUUAACUUGAGUAUGAGAGGGGUAGAUGGAAUUUCUAGUGUAGGAGUGAAAUCCGUAGAUAUUAGAAGGAACACCGAUAGCGUAGGCAGUCUACUGGCUCAUUACUGACACUAAGGCACGAAAGCGUGGGGAGCAAACGGG
rnacentral:rRNA from 1 species